GACGAACGCUGGCGGCGUGCCUAACACAUGCAAGUCGAGCGAUGAAGCUCCUUCGGGAGUGGAAUAGCGGCGGACGGGUGAGUAACACGUGGGUAACCUGCCUCAUAGAGGGGAAUAGCCUUCCGAAAGGGAGAUUAAUACCGCAUAACAUAACUUUAUCGCAUGGUAGAGUUAUCAAAGGAGUAAUCCGCUAUGAGAUGGACCCGCGGCGCAUUAGCUGGUUGGUGAGGUAACGGCUCACCAAGGCGACGAUGCGUAGCCGACCUGAGAGGGUGAUCGGCCACAUUGGAACUGAGAAACGGUCCAGACUCCUACGGGAGGCAGCAGUGGGGAAUAUUGCGCAAUGGGGGAAACCCUGACGCAGCAACGCCGCGUGAGUGAAGAAGGCCUUAGGGUUGUAAAGCUCUGUCAUAUGGGAAGAUAAUGACGGUACCAUAAGAGGAAGCCACGGCUAACUACGUGCCAGCCGCCGCGGUAA
rnacentral:rRNA from 1 species